rnacentral:rRNA from 1 species
UACGGAGGGUGCAAACGUUGCUCGGAAUCAUUGGGCGUAAAGCGCACGUAGGCGGCUUGUUAAGUCGGGUGUGAAAGCCCUGGGCUCAACCCAGGAAGUGCACUCGAAACUGGCGAGCUUGAAUAUGGAAGAGGGUCGCGGAAUUCCCGGUGUAGAGGUGAAAUUCGUAGAUAUCGGGAGGAACACCAGUGGCGAAGGCGGCGACCUGGGCCUGACCUGACGCUGAGGAGCGAAAGCGUGGGGAGCGAACAGG